rnacentral:rRNA from 1 species
GACGAACGCUGGCGGCGUGCCUAAUACAUGCAAGUCGAACGCACAGUUUAUACCGUAGCUUGCUACACCAUAGACUGUGAGUUGCGAACGGGUGAGUAACGCGUAGGUAACCUGCCUGGUAGCGGGGGAUAACUAUUGGAAACGAUAGCUAAUACCGCAUAAUAUUAAUUAUUGCAUGAUAAUUGAUUGAAAGAUGCAACUGCAUCACUACCAGAUGGACCUGCGUUGUAUUAGCUAGUAGGUGAGGUAACGGCGCACCUAGGCGACGAUACAUAGCCGACCGGAGAGGGUGAGCGGCCAGACUGGGACUGAGACACGGCACAGACGCCUACGGGAGGCAGCAGGAGGGAUUCGGCGGCAAGGGACGAAAGACUGACCGAGCAACGCCGCGGGAGUGAAGAAGGGUGUCGGAUCGGAAAGCUCCGUUGUAAGGGAAGAACGGGUGUGAGAGUGGAAAGUUCACACUGUGACGGUAUCUGACCAGAAAGGGACGGCUAACUACGUG